AGAGUUUGAUCAUGGCUCAGAUUGAACGCUGGCGGCAGGCCUAACACAUGCAAGUCGAACGGUAACAGGAAACAGCUUGCUGUUUCGCUGACGAGUGGCGGACGGGGGAGUAAUGUCUGGGAAACUGCCUGAUGGAGGGGGAUAACUACUGGAAACGGUAGCUAAUACCGCAUAAUGUCGCAAGACCAAAGAGGGGGACCUUCGGGCCUCUUGCCAUCGGAUGUGCCCAGAUGGGAUUAGCUAGUAGGUGGGGUAACGGCUCACCUAGGCGACGAUCCCUAGCUGGUCUGAGAGGAUGACCAGCCACACUGGAACUGAGACACGGUCCAGACUCCUACGGGAGGCAGCAGUGGGGAAUAUUGCACAAUGGGCGCAAGCCUGAUGCAGCCAUGCCGCGUGUAUGAAGAAGGCCUUCGGGUUGUAAAGUACUUUCAGCGGGGAGGAAGGGAGUAAAGUUAAUACCUUUGCUCAUUGACGUUACCCGCAGAAGAAGCACCGGCUAACUCCGUGCCAGCAGCCGCGGUAAUACGGAGGGUGCAAGCGUUAAUCGGAAUUACUGGGCGUAAAGCGCACGCAGGCGGUUUGUUAAGUCAGAUGUGAAAUCCCCGGGCUCAACCUGGGAACUGCAUCUGAUACUGGCAAGCUUGAGUCUCGUAGAGGGGGGUAGAAUUCCAGGUGUAGCGGUGAAAUGCGUAGAGAUCUGGAGGAAUACCGGUGGCGAAGGCGGCCCCCUGGACGAAGACUGACGCUCAGGUGCGAAAGCGUGGGGAGCAAACAGGAUUAGAUACCCUGGUAGUCCACGCCGUAAACGAUGUCGACUUGGAGGUUGUGCCCUUGAGGCGUGGCUUCCGGAGCUAACGCGUUAAGUCGACCGCCUGGGGAGUACGGCCGCAAGGUUAAAACUCAAAUGAAUUGACGGGGGCCCGCACAAGCGGUGGAGCAUGUGGUUUAAUUCGAUGCAACGCGAAGAACCUUACCUGGUCUUGACAUCCACAGAACUUUCCAGAGAUGGAUUGGUGCCUUCGGGAACUGUGAGACAGGUGCUGCAUGGCUGUCGUCAGCUCGUGUUGUGAAAUGUUGGGUUAAGUCCCGCAACGAGCGCAACCCUUAUCCUUUGUUGCCAGCGGUCCGGCCGGGAACUCAAAGGAGACUGCCAGUGAUAAACUGGAGGAAGGUGGGGAUGACGUCAAGUCAUCAUGGCCCUUACGACCAGGGCUACACACGUGCUACAAUGGCGCAUACAAAGAGAAGCGACCUCGCGAGAGCAAGCGGACCUCAUAAAGUGCGUCGUAGUCCGGAUUGGAGUCUGCAACUCGACUCCAUGAAGUCGGAAUCGCUAGUAAUCGUGGAUCAGAAUGCCACGGUGAAUACGUUCCCGGGCCUUGUACACACCGCCCGUCACACCAUGGGAGUGGGUUGCAAAAGAAUUAGGUAGCUUAACCUUCGGGAGGGCGCUUACCACUUUGUGAUUCAUGACUGGGGUGAAGUCGUAACAAGGUAACCGUAGGGGAACCUGCGGUUGGAUCACCU
rnacentral:rRNA from 1 species